CCUACGGGUGGCAGCAGUGAGGAAUAUUGCGCAAUGGACGAAAGUCUGACGCAGCCAUGCCGCGUGCAGGAUGACGGCCCUAUGGGUUGUAAACUGCUUUUGUAUGGGAAUAAACCCUUCUACGUGUAGGAGGCUGAAGGUACCAUAAGAAUAAGCACCGGCUAACUCCGUGCCAGCAGCCGCGGUAAUACGGAGGGUGCAAGCGUUAUCCGGAUUUAUUGGGUUUAAAGGGUCCGUAGGCGGGCCGAUAAGUCAGUGGUGAAAGCCCAUAGCUCAACUAUGGAACUGCCAUUGAUACUGUCGGUCUUGAGUAUAUGUGAUGUUGGCGGAAUGUGUAGUGUAGCGGUGAAAUGCUUAGAUAUUACACAGAACACCGAUUGCGAAGGCAGCUGACAAAUAUAUAACUGACGCUGAGGGACGAAAGUGUGGGGAUCAAACAGGAUUAGAUACCCGAGUAGUC
rnacentral:rRNA from 1 species